rnacentral:tRNA from 1 species
GGAAGAUCAUCGCCCCCGGUGGGGCGGCUGGGCUUCAAAUCCAGACGGGUUCGCCAGCGGCUCCCGGCAGGUUGACUACGUUCA